CACUGCAGCUGAAGCACUUCCUCGCUGCCAGAUAGAAGUGUGUCAGGUUUGCCCUGCAUUGAGCACAGCUCUCUGAGGCCUGGCGGUGAUUUUUGCUGGAUUGCCAACAAAAAAAACUUCCUAAUCCCUGCCACAUUUUCUCCUAAUUUUUCACGCUGACUUGAAGGGAGCCGAUAGGAGCCAGGACAAACAGCUGAGGAGCCCUCAGAUCAUUAUUCACCGUCUCCCUUUAUGAAGUGAACUAAAGAACUUGACAAUAACGAGUCUGCAGACUGCCGAGAUGUCUGUAUUAAGUUAACCAUGAAAGAAUUUCGCUUAACAUCAUGGGUCAAUCAAGUGUUUUAGUCUCAGGAGAAAGUGGAAGAAAUCACUUGAAAAUGGCUGGAAAAAAUCUUAGUUCCAGAAGGAGUUUUGAAAAGGUGGACUCAAGUUCUACCAAGGAAAAUGCCAACUCAUUCACCUGCAACAGAGGUACUACCACCACCAACCUGCGCCUUGUGAUCCCAGAAGCAUCUCCAAAGAGCUGAAGAGUAAUGAACGUGAACAUUAAGCAUGCAAGAAUGCAAGGACCUUUCAGAAGAGCUACCACAGAGUUUAGUUUUAAAAGCUUAAGAAGUUCCCUAAAACGCCCUCAAAAGAAAAACUCUAAAUCAAUAAAACAGCUGUCAGUGACAAUAUA